CCCUUCCCCUCCUCCUUGGAAACCACAGGAAAAUCAAAAUUCUUUAGGCAAAUGGUAACAAACAUAGACCUGUGAGAUCUGAACCUACAGGCCAAGGGCAUCUUUCUUGUAGUUUGGCAGAACUUGAUUUUGUUCAUUUUCCUUCUAUAAAGACGCCAUGUCAAUAGGUAUAUAAAUUCAUUGUACUUAUAAAAGCAGGGGUAAAUAAUCAUCCCCCUAGGGAAUUGUUCAGGUUUUUGUUGUUGUUGUUCCUAUCUGAGAGUUGAAGGGACAAGGAAAGAAAGAAUAUGGAAACGGUUCUAGAGGGUUGUAAGGGAGAAGCCUUUCUUCUUGCCUUUCAGCCUCAGCCCUCCCCAGAUGGGGGGCAGAGAAAAGCCAAUUCAGUGACGAGGAAAUGUUUAAUGAACUUCUUAGAAUACCCCACCAACUGCCUGAAUUAACCAAAUGUGCACCAAGCUGAUAAUAGAGAAACUACCGGCCUUAGCUUUGAGUGGCCUUGGUUCUCCCCACCCCCACCCCCAUGUAAAACAGUUUCUUUCUCCCUGUAACACAAUUUCUUUCCCCAGGACAUUUUCAGUGGAAGAUAAUGCACAGAAGGUGUACAAUACCACUGGUUGUCAAAGAAGCGAAGCCGGGGUCCCCUCUAGUGGGUGGUAGCAUCAGAAGUUAGAGAGAUGAAAAUCCAAAAAAUCCUCUAUCCACAAGUUGGACUUUCUUACACCAGAAUAAAUGAUAUCUCUGAAGGAUCUAUUCUGUCAUAAAUGUUGAAUACAAGGGAAUGAUGAAGGGAUGAAGAUUAGACAUUGGCAUCUCCAUAACCUAACUAAUCUGUUCCUUCUUUUUUUUUUGGU